rnacentral:sRNA from 13 species
AGGACCGCUGAUAGUUGAAACACUUUUUGAGUUGUGUUUGUGCUUGAAGGGAAACUGACCUGAGGGCUGUGUUGAUGUGUUAACAGAGGAGUUAUGAGUUUGGAUUUCUUGAUUGAGGAUUUUUGUUUUUUUCUAUUGUGUUAGUAAAUAGAGACAUGUAAAUUCGAAUUGGAGAUUGUGACAUUAUUUCUUUUGAUCGGGGAUAUUAAUUGAUCAUAGUUGGAUUGUGCUUCUGCAAUCGGAGAGAUACCUGAGAGGACGGGCCUAGACUAUAUAAAGGAACCAGUGUUUGAUCACACAACAGUUAUUGAGAUGAAAUUCUAUCCAACCAUUGUAUGAAUGAGCCAUACACAAUUCAUGUCGUUACAGUAAGUUCUAACUGUGUAUAGUAUGUAUACAAUGUUUUUUUUCUA